UCCUCUUACUGUAACUUUGUUUCAGUGCUCAUAGCUGUUCCUGCGCUCUACUCUUUUGGAAGCGGGGUGCAUGCUUGGGACCACAUCCCUACCUGUCACGAGGCUUGGGUGCUGGUAUGGGUUUCAGGGCUUGCACUGGCCUCUCAACUGCAUUCUAUUUAACCGGCGUUAAGAUUUUUACGCGUUCACUCGAUUAUGAACAAUAGUCGCAUUGUGGGAGUGUGUGCAUUAGGCGAGGUGAGACGCAGAAUCUUAGACUUCGGCUUAUCUGCCGCGCUAAAGCUGACAUAAUUACCUUAAGCUGCCUUUUGCUAAGACUCAUGCAGGAAUUCAAAACGCCUUUUAUUUUUCGUUUUCAGUUUUGCAUUCCACGACAUCCUGCUUUUUUUUUUUUUUUUUUGGGAGCUGCACAGCGACGGGAUUAGAGAACCCAACGCAUGUGAUGUGGAGGUUCAGCUUGUCCUCUCGUGCACCAAACCUGCUCGCUUUCCCCUUCAGAACGAAACUUCCAGUGAAGCAAUUCCAAGUGCCACUAUAUUGGAAAAGCCUGGAUUGCCGAGAUGAAAUGCUGACCGCUGACCACUGACCAUUGAUUAAUGUAUAUGUGUAUGCACGCGCUCACUGCUUUUGCUUCGCUCCUGCAGGUGCUGAACACGACCACCUCACGCGUCCGCUUGGUCUUUUUGCCUUACUUUUUUACAUGAUUUGGAAAACUGCCCAUGGAAAUCGUCAAGAAGUGAGACUGCGCGCAGAAGCCCCUGCUAAAUCACUUUAUUUAACACGGCCUUUGUUUACGUUGAGCGUGUAAUUAACACCUUCUCCCUCCCAAACGGGUUUAUUCACCUGGGCUAAUUGUCUGUUUAUCCCCGAGCUUCCCCCGCUCCUGUCUUUGCGAUAAGCAGCGGGGGACGAGCUCCCUCAAUACGGCCCAGCCAUUAGCUCCCUCUCUGUUUAUUUAAUUCCACGCCGCCUCACAUCACAAUACCAGCGCGAUUUACUCUAGAUGUAUCCCUUAAGCUCAACCUGGCCAUGGAUGUUUUUUUUUUUGGGGUGGAGUGAACCCGCGCGCUCAAAACUUACUCUCACGCGCGCUUCUCUCUGCGCUUCUCGCUGAGCAUCUCGAACACGUGUGUCGUCACGGUGUGAGACGGGCGAGUCGGGCUGGCUGGAAAAAAAGGUCAUUUGAUUUUGUCUGAUUGGGGCGGGAACGACGCAGUGGGCAGUGGGACCACCAUCACUUCAAUCGGCGCUGCGAAGAGCUUUAUUUCCACGUCUCUCCAACUGAGCCGCACGUGGUCUGUAAAACUUAUUUCACUUUCUGCAUGUUUUCAUUUCCUCUCUUCUUUUCUUCUUUUUUAUCAUCCUCUCUCCCUCUCUCUCUCUUUCUCUUUCUCUUUCUCGCCCCCCCACCCACACUUUUGUACUUUUUGUCUUUUCUUCCAGCUAAGCGUCUCUUGCUGUUUGCUCACUGCAGUUUUUGUUCACUGUACGGCAAGUUUCUCUAAACGGACCCGUGAUGGACGCAGUUCGGUCCGUCCCGCGCACCGAGAGUGGACACCACUUCCACAGCCUGUAAGUUGCUGACAUACAGAAUUUGCAUAUGAUCGACGGGAAUAAUGUCCGUUUAUGAGGAAUUGGUCAGUGAAGUCUGCCGGAGCUCAAAGCAAACCCGAGCUGAGCGCGUGUGGCUGGGGUUGUCCGCUCCUCUCCUCUCCAUAAAUUUCCCCCAUCCAGCCUGCAGCUCGGCUGGGUGGUCGGGAUGGGGCGCAAAUGUCCCUUUCUCUCUGAUCGCAGCCUCGCUUCCUUUGGCCUUGAAUUCUUGCACGAGCGCAAAUUUGCGCAGUUGUAGUAUUUUUUGACCCUCUGCCGAGGCACCUGCGCCGACCGAAGUCAGCUGGCAAAAAUCCUUUCAUGAAAUAUAUCAGGCGCGCGCAAAAAGUGGAUCUCAAUUACAUCCUAAUUAGAAUUAAGAAGCCUUUAUUUUGACCUCCCUUUCCACAGAGCGCGUUCAUCUCCAAUGUUUAAACCUCACUGGCAUCACUCUCGGUAGUUGACUAUUUUAAUAAUUCAGGCAUGUUUGCUGUGCAGAAGCGAACUGUAAACACUGCACUGCAAAUGUGCAUCUUUCACUCUCAGUGAGACUAACAUUGCGCAAUUUCAAUAUGACGACAGUCACGUGAUCAGGUAUCUGCUUCCAUAGUAAUUUUGUCUGCUGAAACGUAACGGUUUCACGUGCCUUAUCGCUCUCGGCCCGUUUCCGAACUUCCGCUCUUGUCGAUGACAAACGUUUUAGCCAUUUUGGUAAAGCGCACCGUAUUGGACCCUGAAGGUUUUGUCUCUCUUUUUUUGUGUGGUCUCAUUAAGUGGGCAUCCCGCGGGAGCUGUCCAAUCAGGGCAUGUGCACGGCCCGUUAGCGACAUUUAAUGAGGGCUCUCCGCGCGCCCACACAACGGCGCCUCCGCCUCGUCUUUACCUUGUGUCAACUCGCUCCUCCUAAUGAACGCGCUGGUGGAGCUUCUGCUGAAUGGACGCGGGUGCCGGAAAUGCAGGCCCUCUCUUUCUCUUUCUCUCUCUCUCUCUCUCUCUCUCUCUCUCUCUCUCUCUCUCUUUCGACGUCUCAGGCCUUUACUUAGACAAGACCCGUGUGUGUGUGUGUGUCUGUGCAUUUUACUCCCUGAGCUCUAAGUGAAUAAAAACAGAUGGGCGAGCACGCGCGGAUGGCGCGCCUGCAGAUUAUGUGACAGGUCAGCCACACGUUUAGCCACAGUAAGGACUUUUAUCGCUUUGCUAAUUAAACUGGGUGUGGUGCUCUACCCCAGAAGA